rnacentral:rRNA from 1 species
GACGAACGCUGGCGGCGUGCUUAACACAUGCCAGUCGAACGAAGUGGCGAACGGGUGAGUCAUCCAUGGGUAACCUGCCCUCCUUUUUGGGAUAAGCCUUGGAAACUGGGUCUACUACCGGAUAGUUUGGGAUGGGCCCGCGGCCUAUCAGCUUGUUGGUGGGGUAAUGGCCUACCAAGGCGGCGACGGGUAGCCGGCCUGGGAGGGUGGACGGCCACAUUGGGACUGAGACACGGCCCAGACUCCUACGGGAGAGAGCAGUGGGGAAUAUUGCACAAUGGGCGGAAGCCUGAUGCAGCGACGCCGCGUGGGGGAUGACGGCCUUCGGGGUGUAAACUCCUUUCACCAUCGACGCGGUAGAUGGAGAAGAAGCACCGGCUAACUACGUGCCAGCAGCCGCGGUAAUAC